rnacentral:rRNA from 1 species
ACGGCCACAUACCACAUUGAAAACACCGAUUCUCGUCCGAUCACCGAAGUUAAGCAAUGUCGGUCAGUACUUGGGAGGGUGACCACCUGGGAACACCGGGUGCAGCUGCAGGCU